UAUUUAGACUCAUCAUAUUUGGUGGUGAAAAGAACAAUAUUUUAUAAAAUCACUAUAUAUGGUUUUGUCUUCUAAUAUUAUCCCUGAUAAAUGCAAGCUGUUUUAGCUUUGUCAUUUGUUCCUUACUGUUGUCAUUCAGAGAAGUAUUCUGCUGAUAGGGGCUUUGAACAAAAAGUAAGUUACAUGUAGAAAAUUGCAUUAAGUACUACUUUUGGUCAUGGUCUCUUUCAGAAGUCUUGAUCCAUUAUAAGUUAGAAG
rnacentral:lncRNA from 1 species